rnacentral:rRNA from 1 species
UACGGAGGGUGCAAGCGUUAUCCGGAUUCACUGGGUUUAAAGGGUGCGUAGGUGGGCAAGUAAGUCAGUGGUGAAAUCUCCGGGCUUAACCCGGAAACUGCCAUUGAUACUAUUUGUCUUGAAUACUGUGGAGGUCAGCGGAAUAUGUCAUGUAGCGGUGAAAUUCGUAGAUAUUCGGAAGAACACCAGUGGCGAAGGCGGCUCACUGGACAGUUACUGACACUGAGGCACGAAGGCCAGGGGAGCAAACGGG